rnacentral:rRNA from 1 species
UCCUGACUGACCGAUAGUGAACCAGUACCGUGAGGGAAAGGCGAAAAGAACCCCGGCGAGGGGAGUGAAAAAGAACCUGAAACCGUGUACGUACAAGCAGUGGGAGCACGCUUAGGCGUGUGACUGCGUACCUUUUGUAUAAUGGGUCAGCGACUUAUAUUCUGUAGCAAGGUUAACCGAAUAGGGGAGCCGAAGGGAAACCGAGUCUUAACUGGGCGUUAAGUUGCAGGGUAUAGACCCGAAACCCGGUGAUCUAGCCAUGGGCAGGUUGAAGGUUGGGUAACACUAACUGGAGGACCGAACCGACUAAUGUUGAAAAAUUAGCGGAUGACUUGUGGCUGGGGGUGAAAGGCCAAUCAAACCGGGAGAUAGCUGGUUCUCCCCGAAAGCUAUUUAGGUAGCGCCUCGUGAAUUCAUCUCCGGGGGUAGAGCACUGUUUCGGCAAGGGGGUCAUCCCGACUUACCAACCCGAUGCAAACUGCGAAUACCGGAGAAUGUUAUCACGGGAGACACACGGCGGGUGCUAACGUCCGUCGUGAAGAGGGAAACAACCCAGACCGCCAGCUAAGGUCCCAAAGUCAUGGUUAAGUGGGAAACGAUGUGGGAAGGCCCAGACAGCCAGGAUGUUGGCUUAGAAGCAGCCAUCAUUUAAAGAAAGCGUAAUAGCUCACUGGUCGAGUCGGCCUGCGCGGAAGAUGUAACGGGGCUAAACCAUGCACCGAAGCUGCGGCAGCGACGCUUAUGCGUUGUUGGGUAGGGGAGCGUUCUGUAAGCCUGCGAAGGUGUGCUGUGAGGCAUGCUGGAGGUAUCAGAAGUGCGAAUGCUGACAUAAGUAACGAUAAAGCGGGUGAAAAGCCCGCUCGCCGGAAGACCAAGGGUUCCUGUCCAACGUUAAUCGGGGCAGGGUGAGUCGACCCCUAAGGCGAGGCCGAAAGGCGUAGUCGAUGGGAAACAGGUUAAUAUUCCUGUACUUGGUGUUACUGCGAAGGGGGGACGGAGAAGGCUAUGUUGGCCGGGCGACGGUUGUCCCGGUUUAAGCGUGUAGGCUGGU